GCUUUCGUGGUGUAGUGGUCAGCGCGCUCGACGCGUAUUCGAGAGGUCCGUGGUUCGACUCCCGUCGAGGGCA
rnacentral:tRNA from 1 species